rnacentral:snoRNA from 1 species
GUGACGGAGUCUCGGGGAGUAGCCGAGCGGUGACUUGGCGGUUAUCACGCUGA